rnacentral:lncRNA from 1 species
ACUCAACCUUCUCCCAAGGCAGUUCUUUACGGUUUCUCUACCUGGUGGUUAGGUCCCUCAUUUCCUGCCCAUGAUCUUCUCAACUCACUCCUACAAUCCUGGUAAACUAUCAACCGCCCGCUAUAUUUUAGGGUUUGAAGAGGUUAAAUGUAGAUUGACUACUGCGGUUGCGACAAGAAGGAAAUACGAAGUAGAGUUCUCCUGGAUUCCUUCAAUUAAUGACAGUUCCCCCAUGCUCUCCUAAUUGCAGGGUGUUGUAGUGGCGAAGAGAGGAGGCCUAAUGACGUUAAGGAAGCUUUGAAAUCGAGAAGAUUGGGGAAAACUUUUAGUUUCAUCAUCAAUUGACACCCUGUACGUCCAUCAUCAAUUGGCACACAUCUACCAAUGGUAGAUGUUGCUAUUAUUAAGGUCGGAUUAAGAGGAAAGAGGGAUGGAACUAAUGUGGUAUCCAAGUUUAAUAAAGCAAAAUUCAUAAUUCUACAUAUAAAGAAUGUGUCUAAUAUGAUGCACAUUUUUUCCCGGAUCACGCUACUAGGGUAUGACCACACAUAAUUCCUUGGUAAUACUUUGAAUAAAUUGCGGGACAGAAUGCUAAGGUGCCUUUUCAAGUGUCAGUAUUGAACUUGCUUUCAUAUUAAGCUAUAUGGGGCAUCAAAGAACUGGUCACUUUGAAGUCAAAUCGUGGAUCUGAUUAUAAGCAUCGUGAAAGGGAAACAGGUGGAUCAAACAUGUACUUCUUUUAGUUUGGGUUCAAAAUAUGGAUGGGUCAGACGGGUAAUCUGAUAAAACGUUUUUCUGAUUUUCCCUUUCCAACCAGUUAAUGAAAGUUGUUUUCCAGUGUUUUACAAUAUCUUUUGGAUGAAUUUGUAGAGUUAAGUUCCUGUAAAAAUAAAGUUAUCGUACGAAACGUACGAAGUGAAAGAAAGUCAAAAAAGUGGCGGUGGCAUUUUGGUAAUUAUCAGCAACUUCAAAAUUACUCUAGUAGAGUAAUUUUGAACUACUGUAGGGUAAUUUUGUAAAAGUUCAAGUAGAGUAAUUUUGGUCGUGUAGGGUAAUUAUCAAAAUUGUAGGGUAAUUAUCAA